rnacentral:rRNA from 1 species
CCUACGGGAGGCAGCAGUGAGGAAUAUUGGUCAAUGGACGAGAGUCUGAACCAGCCAAGUAGCGUGAAGGAUGACUGCCCUAUGGGUUGUAAACUUCUUUUAUAAGGGAAUAAAAUGAGGCACGUGUGGGAUUUUGUAUGUACCAUAUGAAUAAGGAUCGGCUAACUCCGUGCCAGCAGCCGCGGUAAUACGGAGGAUCCGAGCGUUAUCCGGAUUUAUUGGGUUUAAAGGGAGCGUAGUGGGCUUGUUAAGUCAGUUGUGAAAGUUUGCGGCUCAACCGUAAAAUUGCAUUUGAAACUGGCAGUCUUGAUUACAGUCGAGGUGGGCGGACUUCGUGGUGUAGCGG